rnacentral:RNase_P_RNA from 1 species
GCGGAGGGCUGGAUGGCCGCGGCGCGGCAUCGUCCGCGUCGAGGAAAGUCCGGACUCCACAAGGCAACGGUGCCGGGUAACGCCCGGCCGGGGAAACCCGAGGGAAAGCGCCACAGAAAACAAACCGCCGGCCCGCGCGGUCGGUAAGGGUGAAACGGUGGGGUAAGAGCCCACCGGGGGGCUGGCAACAGCGCCCGCACGGCAAGCCCCACCGGGAGCAAUGCCGAAUAGGGGCCCCGCGCGGGUUGAUCGGGGCGCAUGCGCCGAUAUCACCGCAGGGCACGUCUUGGCCCGGGGGCCCGGGUUGGCAGCUUGAGGCGCGCGGGUAACCGUGCGUCCAGAGGAAUGGUCAUCCACCGUGCCGCAAGGUGCGGGGACAGAAUCCGGCUUACAGGCCCUCCGCGCGU